rnacentral:rRNA from 1 species
CCUACGGGAGGCAGCAGUGAGGAAUAUUGGUCAAUGGACGCAAGUCUGAACCAGCAAUGCCGCGUGCAGGAAGACGGCUCUAUGCGUUGUAAACUGCUUUUGUACGAGAGUAAACGCAGAUACGUGUAUCUGUCUGCAAGUAUCGUACGAAUAAGGAUCGGCUAACUCCGCUCCAGCAGCCGCGGUAAUACGGAGGAUUCAAGCGUUAUCCGGUUCUAUUGGGUUUAAAGGGUGCGUAGGCGGUCGGAUAAGUUAGAGGUGAAAUCCCGAGGCUCAACUUCGGAAUUGCCUCGGAUACUGUUCGGCUAGAGAGUAGAUGCGGAAGGCGGAAUGUAUGGUGUAGCGGUGAAAUGCUUAGAGAUCAUACAGAACACCGAUUGCGAAGGCAGCUUACCAAGCUACUUCUGACGUUGAGGCACGAAAGCAUGGGGAGCAAACAGGAUUAGAUACCCCUGUAGUC